ensembl:piRNA 21ur-2463 ncRNA
AUAAUUUCCGAUAUUUAGUUU